CCUACGGGUGGCAGCAGUGAGGAAUAUUGGUCAAUGGGCGCAAGCCUGAACCAGCCAAGUAGCGUGCAGGAUGACGGCCCUACGGGUUGUAAACUGCUUUUAUACGGGAAUAACGCGCCUUACGUGUAGGUCUUUGCAUGUACUGUAUGAAUAAGGACCGGCUAAUUCCGUGCCAGCAGCCGCGGUAAUACGGAAGGUCCGGGCGUUAUCCGGAUUUAUUGGGUUUAAGGGGAGCGUAGGCCGCAUGUCAAGCGUGCUGUGAAAUGUCCGGGCUCAACCCGUGCCUUGCAGUGCGGACUGGCGUGCUUGAGUCCGCGGAAAGCAGGCGGAAUUCGUGGUGUAGCGGUGAAAUGCUUAGAUAUGACGAAGAACCCCGAUUGCGAAGGCAGCUUGCUGCAGCGGAACUGACGCUGAUGCUCGAAAGCGCGGGUAUCGAACAGGAUUAGAUACCCCUGUAGUC
rnacentral:rRNA from 1 species